AUUGAACGCUGGCGGCAGGCCUAACACAUGCAAGUCGAGCGAGCGGCGGACGGGUGAGUAAUGUCUGGGAAACUGCCUGAUGGAGGGGGAUAACUACUGGAAACGGUAGCUAAUACCGCAUACCAUCAGAUGUGCCCAGUUGGGAUUAGCUAGUAGGUGGGGUAACGGCUCACCUAGGCGACGAUCCCUAGCUGGUCUGCGUGGAUGACCAGCCACACUGGAACGGAGAAACGGGCCAGACUCCUAGGGGAGGCAGCAGUGGGGAAUAUUGCACAAGGGGCGCAAGCCUGAUGCAGCCAGGCCGGGUGUGUGAAGAAGGCCUUCGGGUUGUAAAGCACGUUCAGCGGGGAGGCGUUACCCGCAGAAGAAGCACCGGCUAACUCCGUGCCAGCAGCCGCGGUAAUAC
rnacentral:rRNA from 1 species